CUAAGUUUGAUGGCGACCGGCGCACGGGUGAGUAACACGUAUCCAACCUGCCGAUAACUCGGGGAUAGCCUUUCGAAAGAAAGAUUAAUACCCGAUGGCAUAAUAGAACCGCAUGGUUGAUUAUUAAAGAAUUUCGGUUAUCGAUGGGGAUGCGUUCCAUUAGGCAGUUGGUGGGGUAACGGCCCACCAAACCUUCGAUGGAUAGGGGUUCUGAGAGGAAGGUCCCCCACAUUGGGACUGAGACACGGCCCAGACUCCUACGGGAGGCAGCAUG
rnacentral:rRNA from 1 species